AUCCAGAUGACGAGUCCCAGAUGGGACGAAACGCGCGGUCUAGAU
rnacentral:hammerhead_ribozyme from 1 species